rnacentral:tRNA from 1 species
GAGAGAGGCCGGGUGCACUGGUGACUGCUAAUCCUCCAGCUCCGUGGUUAAAGUCCGCGGCUCACUCG